rnacentral:rRNA from 1 species
GAUGAACGCUGGCGGCGUGCCUAAUACAUGCAAGUCGAGCGAACGGACGAGAAGCUUGCUUCUCUGAUGUUAUCGGCGGACGGGUGAGUAACACGUGGAUAACCUACCUAUAAGACUGGGAUAACUUCGGGAAACCGUAGCUAAUACCGGAUAAUAUUUUGAACCGCAUGGUUCAAACGUUAAAGACGGUCUUUCUGUCACUUAUAGAUUGAUCCGGACUGCAUUAGCUAGUUGGUAAGGUAACGGCUUACCAAGGCAACGAUGCAUAGCCGACCUGAGAGGGAGGUCGGACAGACGGGAACUGAGACACGGUACAGACUCCUACGGGGGGAAGCAGUAGGGAAUCUUACGCGAUGGGCGAAAGCCUGACGGAGCACCGCCGCGUGAGGGAUGAAGGUCUUCGGAUCGUAAAGCGCUGUUAGUAGGGAAGAAGAAAUGUGUAAGUAACUGUGAACAUCUUGACGGUACCUAAUCAGAAAGCCACGGCUAACUACGUG